rnacentral:tmRNA from 2 species
GGGGCCGACUUGGCUUCGACGUGGGUCACAAAGCGGGACAGGGCAUGUCGAGCACCAGUAAGCUCGUAAAUCCACUGGAAACACUAUAAACGCCAACGACGAGCGUUUCGCUCUAGCUGCUUAAGUCAGCCGAGCCGCUACACUAAUUUUUCUUUGGGUUAGGUUGGGAAACCAACAGUAGCGUCAUCUACAAAGAAUCGAGUUUAGUUGGGCCACUCAGCUAAGCUCUAAAUUUAAGUGGAUCGCCAAGGAAUGGCCUGUCGGCAGGCAUGGUCCGAGGCUAAAUUUUAAAAUAUUCCGACUAAACAUGUAGAACUGCCUGUGGAGGGCUUGCGGACGGGGGUUCAAUUCCCCCCGGCUCCACCA